rnacentral:rRNA from 1 species
UACGUAGGGCGCAAGCGUUGUCCGGAAUUAUUGGGCGUAAAGAGCUCGUAGGCGGCCUGUUGCGUCCGCUGUGAAAUCCCGGGGCUCAACCCCGGGCGUGCAGUGGAUACGGGCUGGCGUGGAGGCAGGCAGGGGAGAACGGAAUUCCUGGUGUAGCGGUGAAAUGCGCAGAUAUCAGGAGGAACACCGGUGGCGAAGGCGGUUCUCUGGGCCUGUACUGACGCUGAGGAGCGAAAGCGUGGGGAGCGAACAGG